UGACCGGGACCACCUCGGAACCGCCCGGGGGCGUCUGCACCAGCGGGCGCAGGGACUCGGCCCCCAGCUGGCGCUGCUGUCGUAGGGCGUGUCGGACAGGCCCUUGUCCCCUGUGGAAAGCAGGCGACAGGCUGCAGAAGCUGUGACACAUUGGGAGUGACUGAUGGAAAUCUCAUCAAGUUGAAGCGGGGGUAAGUCUCCAAAAGCUAAAAGGGGCUGCAAACGUUCAUUCACCAAAGCAUUCUCCAGGCUCCUCACCUGACAGAGGACGCCAUCCCUGCUUCUUAAGGUGAGAAGAUUGAGGCCUGGAGGAAUCGCCUGUAAGCCCCAGAUCCCUGGCUGACUGGCAGAGGAGACAGCACUCUGGCUGCAGGGCUCUG
rnacentral:lncRNA from 1 species